rnacentral:rRNA from 1 species
CGAGUGAAGAGGGAAAAGCUCAAAUUUUGAAUCCGACGUCUUUGGCGUCCGAGUUGUAAUCUAGAGAAGUGUUUUCUGCGUCGGACCGUGCACAAGUUCCCUGGAACGGGGCGUCAUAGAGGGUGAGAAUCCCGUACAUGGCACGGACUCCCGGUGCUCUACGAUACACUCUCAACGAGUCGAGUUGUUUGGGAAUGCAGCUCAAAAUGGGUGGUAAAUUCCAUCUAAAGCUAAAUAUUGGCGAGAGACCGAUAGCGAACAAGUACCGUGAGGGAAAGAUGAAAAGCACUUUGGAAAGAGAGUGAAACAGUACGUGAAAUUGUUGAAAGGGAAGCGUUUGAAGUCAGUCGCGUCUGUCGGGGUUCAGCCUGGCUUCUGCCUGGUGUAUUCCCCUUCCGACGGGUCAGCAUCAGUUUUGGCCGAGAGAAAAAGGCUGGAGGAAUGUGGCCGUCUUCGGGCGGUGUUAUAGCCUCCUGUCGUAUGUCUCGGUCGGGACUGAGGACUGCAGCGCGCCUUAUGGCCGGGGUUCGCUCCCUCGGUACGCGCUUAGGAUGCUGGCA